rnacentral:misc_RNA from 1 species
UACGGAGGGGGUUAGCGUUGUUCGGAAUUACUGGGCGUAAAGCGCGCGUAGGCGGAUAUUUAAGUCAGAGGUGAAAUCCCAGGGCUCAACCUUGGAACUGCCUUUGAUACUGGAUGUCUGGAGUUCGAGAGAGGUGAGUGGAAUUCCGAGUGUAGAGGUGAAAUUCGUAGAUAUUCGGAGGAACACCAGUGGCGAAGGCGGCUCACUGGCUCGAUACUGACGCUGAGGUGCGAAAGCGUGGGGAGCAAACAGG